rnacentral:rRNA from 1 species
CCUACGGGAGGCAGCAGUGGGGAAUAUUGGACAAUGGGCGCAAGCCUGAUCCAGCCAUGCCGCGUGAGUGAUGAAGGCCCUAGGGUUGUAAAGCUCUUUCACCGGUGAAGAUAAUGACGGUAACCGGAGAAGAAGCCCCGGCUAACUUCGUGCCAGCAGCCGCGGUAAUACGAAGGGGGCUAGCGUUGUUCGGAAUUACUGGGCGUAAAGCGCACGUAGGCGGAUUGUUAAGUGAGGGGUGAAAUCCCAGGGCUCAACCCUGGAACUGCCUUUCAUACUGGCAAUCUAGAGUCCAGAAGAGGUGAGUGGAAUUCCGAGUGUAGAGGUGAAAUUCGUAGAUAUUCGGAGGAACACCAGUGGCGAAGGCGGCUCACUGGUCUGGUACUGACGCUGAGGUGCGAAAGCGUGGGGAGCAAACAGGAUUAGAUACCCUAGUAGUC